AUACUAUAACUGUAUAUUAUUGAAUUCUUGGAUUAUAUUAAUUAAACCCAACUGUUUCUCAUUUUUCAAGAGCAUCAUUUUUCAGUUCAUAGCAUCUUAUCCACAUGUCCUACCUGAAGGUUAUGAUUUUGUCAUAUAUAAUUGCUCUUAACUCCCACCUAAUCGAGACAAUACCAAUUGUUAUUCUGACAUUUAUUGCAGGAAAUCCAAUAAUUGGACAACUGGUAAUUCCAAAAUAUGUUGAUUAGAUUAUAAAGCAAAUUAAUAGAAAACAUCAGUUUUCAAGCUCAUUUGAUCACAACAGUUACGUUAGCGAGAUCAUAAUCCUCGUCUCACCCCAGACAUCCAGUUUCAUUUUUCGUAUGAAAAAGAUUAAUUCAAUUUUUAUCUCAAACGUCAAUUUUGACAUGAUGAAGGAAUAAAAAUCUUCAAUAUCCUCGUCCCGUCCGCCCCUAAAAUAAAAAUCUUCGACCAUGCUCGAAAUGUGUAAGCUGGAAACAGUUUUAACCUCGCAACGAGUAAUUUCAGGAUUACAAAGUUUAUUAUUAGCAUGACAAAAU